UAAUGAUUGCGAAUGGUCACCUUCAGUGCUGGCUCGCAAGAGCAAGUGCACGUUGGUGGCUUUCAUCCAAUUCCACACCCUGUGAACCUUUGGCCUCUUGCUAGCUUCGGCUGGCAGAGGAUUUUUACAUAUACUCGCAUGUAAUGAAAACUAUUGUUGUGCGCAAGCACUACUAUACAACUUUCAACAACGGAUCUCUUGGCUCUCGCAUCGAUGAAGAACGCAGCGAAAUGCGAUAAGUAAUGUGAAUUGCAGAAUUCAGUGAAUCAUCAAAUCUUUGAACGCACCUUGCGCUCCUUGGUAUUCCGAGGAGCAUGCCUGUUUGAGUGUCAUUAAAUUCUCAAGGAGUUUGUUCUCUUUGGAUUUUGGAGUGUUUGCUGGCUUGAAUCUUGUUCAGCUCCUCUCAAAUGCAUUAGCUUGUGCUUCUGUGGAAUCAGGCUUUGGUUUGAUAGUAUCUAUGUCAUUGCCUUUGAAACAAAUGAGCUAGCUUCUAAUCAUUUUAUUUUUGACAUUUUG
rnacentral:misc_RNA from 1 species